UAAUAAGCCAUAUGCCUACCUAUCUUUGU
rnacentral:piRNA from 1 species